UGAUGUUUCAGGACCCCACUUUGGGUCUCGACCCCAACUUUGGGCACCACUGGUCUAGAGAGUAUACUUUCAGAAGGUCAGAAUGGUGAAACAUAACACUGUUAGAACAGGCAACGGGCCUGCGUGGCUGUGAACACAUAUCUCUAAAGCUGUGCCUCCCCACGUGAUUGUCUUUAUUUAUUACAGUCACCUGCUGCGCACCRGACGGACGCGGUGCAACGUGCCCAGCAGAGUUCCUUCUGCUGUCGUUGGCAUACAAGGUCUUUGAGCUGUAUUACGUCUGCAUUUCUGAAAUAUCCAACAGUAACCCCACCUGACCGUGGYWUUUGACCUCAGUUUGUCUUUUUGCUGCMCUACCCACCUUUUCAGAUUUCAUAAGGGCGUUUUAUUAAAUCAAACUGGAAUUUAACAUUGCGUGUGUGUGUGUGCGUGCAUGCGUUUUUGUCUGUCCCUCCCUCCUGUGUGUGUCUUGUGACUGGUAGCUUUGAUACCUACCUACUGGUAUCAUAUAACAAUGGCCCGCCUCACACAGUCCACCCCCGCUUCUCUGUGAGCUCGUUCAGCAGUCAUGAGGCGUGCUUAGGUGAUCUCUCCCACCCCCGUCCUGAUAAGAGGGCAUAUGGAGAAGUCACACAAUAACCAUUCUGUGACAGCGCCCUUUCCUUCGUCCUCUCAGCGCAGUCUCAUCUGCUACAGCACCGUUGCCCUUGACUAACCCAGGGUACACGUUGUAAAAACAGGUAUCAGAUAAGCGAUGGGGCUUGUAGUAGCACCUGCAAGUAACUGAAUCAACUCUGCACUCUACUGAAAACAGAAGACAGAUGUACCACUUAGUUAUGUGAUUAAUGCUCCACAAAUCAUCUGUCUCACUGUAUCUCAUCUGCUAGUCCUAAUGUGUCUCAUCAGUGAAUGAUCAAAGAGGAUUUACUCGAGGGUGUAAGAACAAGCUUCUUCAUAAUUUGGCCAAUAAGUUAAGAUUUGUCAGCAUUAUCCCCCUUCCUUUCCUUUCCUUCUCUGUUUGGGUCUUUCCUGACCCCCCCACCCCUCACCCCCACCCACUUACACUCACACCUCACACACGUUUCCUUUUAUGGCUAAUGCUGCGUUCCAUGUACCUCGGAGCUGAGAAGUCGGAAUGAGGUCCUUUACGAGUUGACAGCGAUCCAGCUUGUCAGAAGUCGUAAAAAAGAUGGGCGCCCAGAGCACCAAGUCUGUGUUGUUCCGAAUGUUUCGGAGUUUAAAAGGUUAUGACACAAAUAUGCAGACCACUUGAAGAACACAUCGGAGAAGGAUGAAGGUGCAGAAGGAUACUAAUAAGACCAAACUGCGGGAAAAGCAGCAAAUCAUCCUGAAUACUUGAACCAGGUGAAGGAGAGCAAGCCUUCAGACGGUUGAAGUACAGGUGGAGACGUCUUCAUGUUCUGCAGAACACCAGGACUGAUGCUGCAGCUGCUCUCUGUAUAACUUGUGCACUGGGAUGUCAGAAAUAUGCAGGAACACCCACAUGGCAGCCCAGUUGCAGGGAGAUGAAAUGUCAAGAACAUUCACCUUUUGUCCUGGAGGCCCUGUUUCUAACCCCAUUUGAUGAUUUGAACUUUUUUGUGGCCGUUGUAAGAAACUUCUUGGUGGAAAAAAGAUUAGAUUUAGAUUUUUUGAUUUGUGGUCAAAUUGAAAUGAAUAAUUUUUGUGGUGCUGUAUUAAUAAAGUAACAAACAAUCAUAUUAUGUGUUAAAUAGUGUUAUUUGGGAGAGUAUUUGAGUUUCAUUAAACAAGAGGUUUUUGCAAUCUA